rnacentral:misc_RNA from 1 species
UCCGAUUUGGCACCGGCGGUCUCCCAUGAGUCCCCGGCAUGACCCGCUGGCAACACGGGACAGGGGUUGCGCUCGUUGCGCCACUUAAGGCAACACCUCACGGCACGAGCUGACGACAGCCAUGCAGCACCUGUGUGGGCCCCCGAAGGGGCACCGUGUUUCCACGGCGUCACCCCGCAUGUCAAGCCCUGGUAAGGUUCUUCGCGUUGCAUCGAAUUAAGCCACAUGCUCCACCGCUUGUGCGGGCCCCCGCCAAUUCCUUUGAGUUUCAACCUUGCGGCCGUAGUCCCCAGGCGGUUCACUUAAUGCGUUAGCUGCGGCACCAAAACCUCAAGGGUCCCGACGGCUAGUAGACAUCGUUUACGGCGUGGACUAC